ACCUGAUCAGCCAUCCCGCGUGUGCGAUGAAGGCCUUCGGGUUGUAAAGCACUUUUGGCAGGAAAGAAAUGGCACGGGUUAAUAACCCGUGUUGAUGACGGUACCUGCAGAAUAAGCACCGGCUAACUACGUGCCAGCAGCCGCGGUAAUACGUAGGGUGCAAGCGUUAAUCGGAAUUACUGGGCGUAAAGCGUGCGCAGGCGGUUCGGAAAGAAAGGUGUGAAAUCCCAGGGCUUAACCUUGGAACUGCAUUUUUAACUACCGGGCUAGAGUGCGUCAGAGGGGGGUGGAAUUCCGCGUGUAGCAGUGAAAUGCGUAGAUAUGCGGAGGAACACCGAUGGCGAAGGCAGCCCCCUGGGAUGACACUGACGCUCAUGCACGAAAGCGUGGGGAGCAAACAGGAUUAGAUACCCUGGUAGUCCACGCCCUAAACGAUGUCAACUAGCUGUUGGGGCCUUCGGGCCUUAGUAGCGCAGCUAACGCGUGAAGUUGACCGCCUGGGGAGUACGGUCGCAAGAUUAAAACUCAAA
rnacentral:rRNA from 1 species